rnacentral:rRNA from 1 species
UCGAGAAUUUUUCUCAAUGGGCGCAAGCCUGAAGGAGCGACGCCGCGUGGAGGAUGAAGGUCUUCGGAUUGUAAACUCCUGUCAUUAGGGAACAAUUGGCCGCGGUUAACUGCCGCGGUCUUGAUAGUACCUGAAGAGGAAGGGACGGCUAACUCUGUGCCAGCAGCCGCGGUAAUACAGAGGUCCCAAGCGUUGUUCGGAUUCAUUGGGCGUAAAGGGUGCGUAGGUGGCGGGGUAAGUUGGAUGUGAAAUCCCGGGGCUCAACCCUGGAACUGCAUUCAAUACUGCUCUGCUAGAGUACUGGAGAGGAGAUUGGAAUUCAUGGUGUAGCAGUGAAAUGCGUAGAUAUCAUGAGGAAGACCAGUGGCGAAGGCGGAUCUCUGGACAGUUACUGACACUGAGGCACGAAGGCCAGGGGAGCAAACGG